rnacentral:rRNA from 1 species
GCUCAGGAUGAACGCUGGCGGCGUGCUUAACACAUGCAAGUCGAACGAUGAUCCGGUGCUUGCACCGGGGAUUAGUGGCGAACGGGUGAGUAACACGUGAGUAACCUGCCCUUAACUCUGGGAUAAGCCUGGGAAACUGGGUCUAAUACCGGAUAUGACUCCUCAUCGCAUGGUGGGGGGUGGAAAGCUUUUGUGGUUUUGGAUGGACUCGCGGCCUAUCAGCUUGUUGGUGAGGUAAUGGCUCACCAAGGCGACGACGGGUAGCCGGCCUGAGAGGGUGACCGGCCACACUGGGACUGAGACACGGCCCAGACUCCUACGGGAGGCAGCAGUGGGGAAUAUUGCACAAUGGGCGCAAGCCUGAUGCAGCGACGCCGCGUGAGGGAUGACGGCCUUCGGGUUGUAAACCUCUUUCAGUAGGGAAGAAGCGAAAG